rnacentral:rRNA from 1 species
AUUGAACGCUGGCGGCAGGCCUAACACAUGCAAGUCGAGCGGUAGCACAGGGAGCUUGCUCCUGGGUGACGAGCGGCGGACGGGUGAGUAAUGUCUGGGAAACUGCCCGAUGGAGGGGGAUAACUACUGGAAACGGUAGCUAAUACCGCAUAACGUCGCAAGACCAAAGAGGGGGCCCUUCGGGCCGCUUGCCAUCGGAUGUGCCCAAAUGGGAUUAGCGUGUUGGUGAGGUAACGGCUCAACAAGGCGACGAUCCCUAGCUGGUCUGAGGGGAUGACCAGCCACACGGGAACUGAGACACGGUCCAGACUCCUACGGGAGGCAGCAGUGGGGAAUAUUGCACAAUGGGGGCAAGCCUGAUGCAGCCAUGCCGCGUGUAUGAAGAAGGCCUUCGGGUUGUAAAGUACUUUCAGCGGGGAGGAAGGUGUUGUGGUUAAUAACCACAGCAAUCGACGUUACCCGCAGAAGAAGCACCGGCUAACUCCGUGCCAGCAGCCGCCGUAAUAC